GGAAGCUGGGCUGGAAAUACAGCUGAGAGCCUCUGUUGACAGAUGGAUGCCUUCUUAAUCACAGCCUGUGUGGGUAAAGGGAAAGCCUUGCCUGGCCAACCCCUCCCACUCCCACCCCCACCUCCUGCAUUGAUUCACAAACCUGGACUGCUCUGGAGGAGGCUGGGAAAGUCCAUCCCCAGGGAAUACCACUUUUUUCCUCUUCUGUGCCUCUCACAGGACACCCACAUGACUAGGAGGAGGCAGAAAGUGAAUAGGGAGCUCUUAUUACUUUUUGAGUGUCAGCAAGUUAAGACAUCAUCUCCAGAAAACUGUGCUAGUUGGCAUCCAGCAGUGCCCAAGUAUUAUUUAACCCACUAGAACCUGUGACUGCAUCAGCUUUAUAUCCUGGACCUCAGCCUGGAACAAAGGAGAGCUACACUUGGAUACUAAACACAAGUGGUCUGGAUAGAUUAUGCUGGGAAAAGAAGCCUGGAGCAGGCAGUACAGUGGGAGAACAAGGUAAGAAUCAGGUAAAAGUUGCUAUCACUGAAUCACAGCUUUCUCUUUACUUGUUUUGGGGGACUGUAUUUAUAUUACUUGUCUCUCAAGCAUCCUUAAUAUAUUUAUUUACUUUCUCAAAAGUCUUUACUGUCAUUAAUCUAUUUGGAUUUUCAAACUGAGUCAGAAGCAUACAUUAUGAUAUCAUUAACUUGAGGAUAUGCUGGAACCAAAAUGUCCUUCUAGAAUAAAUGUGUAUUGGAGUAAGUAAAAAACUUAAGGGGAAAAACAGGAGAGCUACUACUCAACUUUUAUGGUGGUUUACAUGUGUUAGGUGAGGCAAAAAAGAGGUAGAACAUAAAAGAAAAGGAAAUUUAGGUCAUUUUUUAGGCUAAGAAAAAUCAAGUUGGGGGAAUUCAAGGACUGGAAACACCAGUACAAAGCUAAAGAUACACUUUAAUUCCAGAGAUGGUGUCUUAGAAAA
ensembl:lncRNA LINC01013 long intergenic non-protein coding RNA 1013